UCAGAGUUACAUACUAAUGCAGUACAGAAUCUGGAAAACAUGAAAGCUGAAACUUAACUCAAUUAAACUUCUUUGAUAAGCCCCUCCUCUUCCAAGCAGCAGGAAGAAUGCACAAGAGGACUGGUGCUGUGGCAGAAUGAUUGCUACCACAGACCUGAUGUACACCAAGUGGAACUGAUGGGACAAUCCUUACAAUGUUGUGAUGUCUUCAAUAGAAAACAAGCAAGCUUCCAUCCUGGGAAAGGAAUCCAGUGAUUUGGAAUGACCAAAAUGGGAAAACUGCCCAAGUGGCAGUGGAAGAGGCUGCCCAGG